GACGCUAGGCCGGCACUGCCAAGGUGGGCCGGGCGGUGCGAGGGUCGCCUUUCAGCCUUUACCUCUACCCACUGAAAUGGAGUAGGUCGGUGAGCGCCGAUCUGCUGGAGAAUCUCAUUAUCCCAUCGGCGCUCUGCCUGCUCCUGGCCUCCAAGCCUCUGAAGCCCCUCGGGUUUCAGCUGCCGGCUACCCUCGAGCCCGUGGUGCCCACGAGAGAGGCGACUUUACGUCAGCGGCCCUGGGCUGAGAUUUGAGAACGCGACCAAGUGGAGAAUGUUGGAGCCAGAUUUUAAAAUCCUUGUCUUCCUUCUGCUUGCUACUUGAUCUAAAUGAGAUACGGCAAAGUCACAGAACCUGUUUUUAUGUUUUUGCCUGAUUCAUACGGGCUUCUCCGGUGAAGAUGGGCCUGAAGUAACGCUUGGGUUGCUUCUGACGUUAUAACUCAUCCUGUAGCUGCAGCAACCGUGGUCCUUGCAACCUCAUAAAAAUGUUGCCAGCAUUGUUUCGAUAGUGCUGCUUAAUUCUUGGAAGGUUCUUCGGACUUCACACAUUCCAGCAGUAGCUCUCUCAGCUCCUGUCCUGCACAGCUUUGAAGUGCUGGUGAUGUCAUUGAACUCUUAAGUGCAAGAUGAAACAAGUCUUUCUGGGGUUCUAAGUAGGACACAGCCCUGGUGAUGGCUUUCUGAGGAUGACACGAUGGAGGCUUCUCCAAUAGCUCUAAAACUGCGGUGUGGAAAACAUUCGGCAGCCUCAAAGAGCGGUCUUGUUGACCCCAACUAUAUCAUUUUUCAUCAAAAUCAUUCUUGAAUGACCAGGCAACACUCUUUGAAAAUUGGAGGCCAUUUGCAGCUGCUCUCUGUUGAGGAAAGUGAAUAAUAGGGUGCCCUCAAGGAAUUGCAAAGGUAUCACUCAACAGAAACUUUCGUGUCUGAAGAAAACUAGAUCAUUUUAUCAUGGUAGGCAUGCUGAUAUGUUUGCUUUAAUAAAAUGCCAUAUUUCUGCCUUUAAUCUCUUGUCAACCCGCUAUUAAAAAGCCCCAAAGUGCAUGUGUGCAGCGCAUGUAAACACUUGUGGUUUUGAGGUUACCACAGAACAUACUAAUAAAGCAUGUAAUUUGUGUUUUGUGC
rnacentral:sRNA from 1 species